rnacentral:rRNA from 1 species
AAUCAACGCUGGCGGCGUGCCUCAGACAUGCAAGUCGAACGCGAAAGGUUCCUUCGGGAGCCGAGUAGAGUGGCGCUCGGGUGAGUAACACGUAGGUAAUUUGCCUUUGGGUGGGGAAUAACAAUCGGAAACGGUUGCUAAUACCGCAUAAUGCAGCGGCUCGACAUCGAGACAGUUGUUAAAAGCGGGGGAUCCUUCGGGACCGUCGCGCCUAAAGAGAAGCCUGCGCGGAUUAGCUAGUUGGUGAGGUAAUGGCUCACCAAGGCGACGAUCCGUAACCGGCCUGAGAGGGCGGACGGUCACACUGACACUUAAAUACGGGUCAGACUCCUACGGAGG